rnacentral:tRNA from 1 species
GGAGGGAUGGCCGAGCGGUUUAUGGCGCACGCCUGGAAAGCGUGUUGGGGGCAACCCCUCGCGGGUUCAAAUCCCGCUCCCUCCGCCA